GAUGAAGAACGUAGUGAAAUGCGAUACUUGGUGUGAAUUGCAGAAUCCCGUGAACCAUCGAGUCUUUGAACGCAAGUUGCGCCCGAAGCCAUUUGGUUGAGGGCACGUCUGCCUGGGCGUCACAUAUCGUUGCCCGAUGCCUAUUGCACUGUGAUAGGAAAUUCUAGGGCGAAAGAUGGCUUCCCGUGAGCGUUGUUGCCUCGCGGUUGGUUGAAAAUUGAGUCCUUGGUAGGGUGUGCCAUGAUAGAUGGUGGUCGAGUUUGCACGAGACCGAUCAUGUGUGCGCUCCCCAAAAUAUGGACUCUUUGACCACACACGCGUCUUUUGACGCUCAUGACGAGACCUCAGGUCAGGCGGGGCUACCCGCUGAGUUUAAGCAUAUCAAUAAGCGGAGGA
rnacentral:misc_RNA from 1 species